rnacentral:rRNA from 1 species
AGCAGCCGCGGUAAUUCCAGCUCCAAUAGCGUAUAUUAAAGUUGUUGCAGUUAAAAAGCUCGUAGUUGAAUUUCGGGGUUAGCAGGUCGGUCGUGCCAUCGGUAUGAACUGGUCUCGCUGAUCCCUCCCUCUUGACGAACUGUGAUGCCAUUAAUUUGGUGUCGCAGGGAAUCAGGACUGUUACUUUGAAAAAAUUAGAGUGUUUAAAGCAGGCUCACGCUUGAAUACAUUAGCAUGGAAUAAUGAAAUAGGACGUUUGAUCCUAUUUUGUUGGCUUCUAGGAUUGACGUAAUGAUUAAUAGGGAUAGUUGGGGGCAUUAGUAUUCAAUUGUCAGAGGUGAAAUUCUUGGAUUUAUUGAAGACUAACUACUGCGAAAGCAUUGCCAAUGGCAGUGUUUUUCAUUAAUCAAGAACGAAAGUUAGGGGAUCGAAGACGAUCAGAUACCGUCGUAGUCUUAACCAUAAACUAUGCCGACUAGGGAUCGGAUGAUGUUAAUUUUUUAAUGACUCAUUCGGCGCC